rnacentral:rRNA from 1 species
UACGGAGGGAGCUAGCGUUGUUCGGAAUUACUGGGCGUAAAGCGCGCGUAGGCGGCUUUGUAAGUUAGAGGUGAAAGCCCGGAGCUCAACUCCGGAACUGCCUUUAAGACUGCAUCGCUUGAAUCCAGGAGAGGUGAGUGGAAUUCCGAGUGUAGAGGUGAAAUUCGUAGAUAUUCGGAAGAACACCAGUGGCGAAGGCGGCUCACUGGACUGGUAUUGACGCUGAGGUGGCGAAAA